rnacentral:rRNA from 1 species
UACGUAGGGGGCAAGCGUUGUCCGGAUUUAUUGGGCGUAAAGAGCGUGUAGGCGGCCAGGUAGGUCAGCUGUGAAAACUCGAGGCUCAACCUCGAGACGCCGGUUGAAACCAUCUGGCUAGAGUCCGGAAGAGGAGAGUGGAAUUCCUGGUGUAGCGGUGAAAUGCGCAGAUAUCAGGAGGAACACCGAUGGCGAAGGCAGGUCUCUGGGCAUUAACUGACGCUGAGGAGCGAAAGCAUGGGGAGCGAACAGG